GCUGGGCAUGGUAGCGCAUGCCUUUAAUCCCAGUGACUUUGGAGGCUGAGGCAGGAGGAUCCCAGAUUCAAAGCCAUCCUCAGCAACUUAGUGAGACCCUGUCUCAA
rnacentral:sRNA from 1 species